AGAUUAGAUAAAUUGAUCCAGUUAUCCUCCCUGAGCUUGGCCUGGAUCCUUCUCGGAAUUGCUCACAAUCACUUAUCUCCGACAUCUUGCAAAAGUGUGAUGUUAUGUUUAGAGUUCUUUUUUUUUGUCUUACAAAAACAACAAAGUGAUAUUCUUGGCUCUUGUUAAGUACAGUCAAAUCUCAUUAAUCCGACACUCGUUAAUCCAACAAACAGCUUUAUCCGACACUAAUGAUAGGAACCGAUUUAAUCAAUGCUAUUUAGCCCCUCAAUCCGACAGUCUCGCACUCUGACUCCAACACCUAAUUUGCAACGAAUUACUGAAAUCACUCAUUAAAAGUCUCGUUAAUCCGACACAGUGAUCAGCGUCACCGAUCCAGGAAAUAUGACCUACUUCUAGCACAAAUUUGUUAGCAACUGUGAGCUGUUACUAGUAGGUACAAAGACGGUCACUUCGUCUCUGGAGACUAACAUUUACUGCUACUACUAGCUAACGGCAAAGGAGCAUGUCUUUGAUUUUCAUUGGUCAACGAGUCUACAUAGACGAUAUGCAAGCCGGGCUGUCUCAACAGAAAAAUGAAAAGAUUACCGCAGAGCAACUUCAGCCUGUAACCAGCUAUCUUUCUAGAUGUAGAAGUAGCACUUGAAAUAUACUGUGGUUGUUAAAUAAUUACAAAUAGAAUCUACAUUAUCAUGAAGAAAAUUAUACGGUAACCAUUGAUCAUUACAUCACCAGCUGGUCACAUGACCUCGUCAUGCAUCAUCAUCCACCACCAUUUUGUGUAAGGUCACGUCAUCUGUUCCACUCAACUUAGGCCUAGUUUAGGCUAGUUAGUUCUCUAAAUAGAGCACAACAAACCAGUAUGCAUCUGAGGCAGAAAAUUUAUUCAAGCUCUGAAGUCCCAAACAACUGAAAAUGCUCCAAAACACCAUCACGUGACCCUGUAGCAGACACUACAUCUGUCUAUGAGCAAUGGACAGAACUGAGAAUACCUUAUCAUGAACAGUAGUGUGCACUGCUGGCAACAUCCUGUUUUUUUGGCACACAAUAGCAUCCCUCCUGAUCAAGUGAAAAGGAAUCCUAUGACACCGCUUGAUCUUUGUCUGACAUGGAAAUCUGCAAAUCAAAUAAGAUAUCCGCUUUAAUGAAGUCAUGAACUGGACGCUGCGCUCUUGAUUCCAGCACUAAUAUUGUCAUGACCAAAUGUUAAUAAUUUUCAUAUUCAGCAAGUUGAAGAUGACUGACACCAUCUUUAAGUUUCACAAAUAUGUUAUUCAGAAGUUUUUUGUUUUCACUACUGAUUUAUAUAUAGUAUUAAAAAAUGGAUUUCUGCAAUAGAAUAAAGUAUUGAAAUACA